GAUGAACGCUAGCUACAGGCUUAACACAUGCAAGUCGAGGGGUAACGAGAGGAAAGCUUGCUUUCCUUGUCGACGACCGGCGCACGGGUGAGUAACGCGUAUCCAACCUGCCCCCAACUAGGGAAUAACCUUGCGAAAGUAAGACUAAUACCCUAUAAUUUCCUCAGAUGUCAUCUGACGAGGAAUAAAGAUUUAUCGGUUGUGGAUGGGGAUGCGUCUGAUUAGCUUGUUGGCGGGGUAACGGCCCACCAAGGCAACGAUCAGUAGGGGUUCUGAGAGGAAGGUCCCCCACAUUGGAACGGAGACACGGUCCAAACUCCUACGGGAGGCAGCAGUGGGGAAUAUUGGUCAAUGGGCGGAAGCUUGAACCAGCCAAGUAGCGUGCAGGAUGACGGCCCUAUGGGUUGUAAACUGCUUUUAUACAGGAAUAAAGUUAGCCACGUGUGGUUAUUUGUAGGUACUGUAUGAAUAAGGACCGGCUAAUUCCGUGCCAGCCGCCGCAGUAA
rnacentral:rRNA from 1 species